UUUCCGGUUGAUCCUGCCGGACCUGACUGCUAUCGGAUUGAUACUAAGCCAUGCGAGUCUUUGUAGUAAUACAAGGCAGACGGCUCAGUAACGCGUAGUCAACCUACCCUAUGGACGGGAAUAAUCUCGGGAAACUGAGCAUAAUACCCGGCGUACCACCAUUCCUGGAAUGGUUGGUGGUUAAAAUGGUUCGUCGCCGUAGGAUGGGACUGCGACCUAUCAGCUUGUUGGUGGGGUAAAGGCCCACCAAGGCGAUUACAGGUACGGGCUCUGAGAGGAGAAGCCCGGAGAUGGGUACUGAGACACGGACCCAGGCCCUAUGGGGCGCAGCAGGCGAGAAAACUUUGCAAUGUGCGAAAGCACGACAAGGUUAAUCCGAGUGAUUUCUGCUAAAGGAAUCUUUUGCCAGUUCUAAAAAUACUAGUGAAUAAGGGGUGGGCAAGUUCUGGUGUCAGCCGCCGCGGUAAAACCAGCACCUCAAGUGGUCAGGAGGAUUAUUGGGCCUAAAGCAUCCGUAGCCUGCUCUGUAAGUUUUCGGUUAAAUCUAUAUGCUCAACGUAUAGGCCGCGAAAAUACUGCAGUGCUAGGAAGUGGGAGAGGUAGAC
rnacentral:rRNA from 1 species